GCUAUAAAACAGUUCCGGAGGACAUUUUCUGUACAUGUUGCAGAAGCCGUCCGCUCUUUAGACCAUGCUUUCGCCGUUCAGACUCGAAAUAUUUGCAUUUAACAUGGCUAGGAAGAGCUUGUUCGUGUGCUUAUUCUUAAGUCAGUAUUGUAAUACAUGACUUAAGUGCGCAGAAAAUGUAAUUCAUAUUAUAAAUCAUUAUAUUGCACGUUGGAGCGAUGCGACUAGACCGCACAAGCUUGGAAAUGCGGAGGGCCUGCAAUAACCUCUGAGCCAUGCGGUGGUUGGGAGCUGGCUACACAUGUGCACGAGGCCUGAAGGACGAUGGCCCGCCAUGACUUUUUACGAGAAAAAGGUUUCGGUGUGGACUGAUCCCAGCAAUAGCAACACUCAGUCAGACUGCGGUGUUCUGGAAAUGGACAUGCUGUAAAUUAUAGCUGACACCAGGACUCAAGUUAACAUGCAUUUUAGAACCAGCAGUCUUAAAAUAUAUUGGAAUUGGAGUAUAAUUUGCUGUAUGAAUAAAGCAUUUCUAAACCAG